GACGAACGCUGGCGGCGUGCUUAACACAUGCAAGUCGAACGGAAAGGCCCUGCUUUUGUGGGGUGCUCGAGUGGCGAACGGGUGAGUAACACGGGAGUAACCUGCCCUUGACUUUGGGAUAACUUCAGGAAACUGGGGCUAAUACAGGAUAGGAGCUCCUGCUGCAUGGUGGGGGUUGGAAAGUUUCGGCGGUUGGGGAGGGACUCGCGGCUGAUCAGCUUGUUGGUGGGGUAGUGGCUUACCAAGGCUUUGACGGGUAGCCGGCCUGAGAGGGUGACCGGCCACAUUGGGACUGAGAUAGGGCCCAGACUCCUACGGGAGGCAGAAGUGGGGAAUAUUGCACAAUGGGCGGAAGCCUGAUGCAGAAACGCCGCGUGCGGGAUGACGGCCUUCGGGUUGUAAACCGCUUUCGCCUGUGACGAAGAGUGAGUGACGGUAAUGGGUAAAGAAGCACCGGCUAACUACGUG
rnacentral:rRNA from 1 species